GCAGAGGAAUGAUGACAUAAAAGGCCGAAUUACAGUGCUACCCUAAGCAGUUAACUCUCAUUGGGUGGCAUGAUGACAAAAAUUCCUCAAGCGAUAAAUAACUGACCUCUGC